rnacentral:tRNA from 1 species
GGGAUUGGUGGUGGCUGGCCUUACAAGCGAGGGGUCGCUGGUUCGAACCCAGCUGCGCCCA